UGGCCGAGCGGUCUAAGGCGCUGGAUUUAG
rnacentral:piRNA from 1 species